GUUUGCAGGAAGAAGAUUUGGUGUUGAUAGAGGAGGCAACAUCUUCAAGGCAAAACCUUAGACCUCAUUCAACAUCAUCCAAUGUUGCAAUCCCCCUCAGGAGGCACUUGAAGACCAGUGUCCAAUAUGCACAGGAACAUUUCCAGUGUCAGAAGUAGAACUGCCAUGCCAGCUUUUGUGGAGAAAGUGAGGAGGAUGCGAUUCGUCAUGCAGCAGCACAGACAAUCUGUCACGAGAUAACAUGUCUAAAGUUGUGGAAACG